GAUAAGGUCCUGUGCUUUUUUGCAAAAACAUUCUCCUCUUCUCCACUGAAUGUAACAAGAGAGAUCGACACCAGUUUAGAUGCGACUAAUGAAUGAUUUUCAGAAGGAAGUGAUAACCUUUUGGAUUAGCCACCCAGAAAAGUACAUGGAGGAGAUAAUAGAGGGUCCUUACACCCUGAACACGGCUUAGGCACACAAGGGUCAGAGAAAGCCUUGCACUUCAUUGCCUUACUGGAUAUCAAAGCCACCUGGUUUAA